GAUGAACGCUAGCGGCAGGCUUAAUACAUGCAAGUUGAGGGGCAGCAUGAUAUACGUAAGUAUAUUGAUGGCGACCGGCGGACGGGUGAGUAAAAGGUAGGAGACCUACCUCAUACAGGGGGAUAGCAUAGAGAAAUCUGUGGUAAUACCCCAUGAGGUUAUAUGAAUAGAGGCAUAUAAUCAAAGUAUACGAGAGUAUGCGGUAUGAGAUGGGCCUACUGACCAUUAGCUAGUUGGUGAGGUAAGGGCUCACCAAGGCGAAGAUGGUUAGGGGUUUUGAGAGAGAGAUCCCCCACAUUGGAACUGAGAUACGGUCCAGACUCCUACGGGAGGCAGCAGUAGGGAAUAUUGGGCAAUGGGCGAAAGCCUGACCCAGCCAUGCCGCGUGAAGGAAGACGGCCUUAUGGGUUGUAAACUUCUUUACUAUACGAAUAGAGGUUAGUACGAGUUACUAAUAGGAAGGUAGUAUAGCAAAAAGCACCGGCUAACUCCGUGCC
rnacentral:rRNA from 1 species